UCCGGAAUUACUGGGGCGUAAAGCGCACGCAGGCGGUCUGUCAAGUCGGAUGUGCCUACCUCGGGCUCAACCUGGGAACUGCAUUCGAAACUGGCUGGCUUAUAGUCUUGUAGAGGGGGGUAGAAUUCCAGGUGUAGCGGUGAAAUGCGUAGAGAUCUGGAGGAAUACCGGUGGCGAAGGCGGCCCCCUGGACAAAGACUGACGCUCAGGUGCGAAAGCGUGGGGAGCAAACAGGAUUAGAUACCCUGGUAGUCCACGCCGUAAACGAUGUCGAUUUGGAGGUUGUGCCCUUGAGGCGUGGCUUCCGGAGCUAACGCGUUAAAUCGACCGCCUGGGGAGUACGGCCGCAAGGUUAAAACUCAAAUGAAUUGACGGGGGCCCGCACAAGCGGUGGAGCAUGUGGUUUAAUUUCGAUGCAACGCGAAGAACCUUUACCUGGUCUUGACAUCCACAGAACUUUUCCAGAGAAUGGAUUGGUGCCUUCGGGAACUGUUGAGACAGGUGCUGCAUGGGCUGUCCGUCCAGCUCGUGGUUGUGGAAAUGUUGGGUUUUAAGUUCCCGGCAACGAGGCGCAAACCCCUUAAUCUCUUUUGUUGGCCAGCGGUUCCGGCCCGGGGAAACUUCAAAAGGGAGACUUGCCCAGUUGAUAAAACUUGGUAGGAAGGGUGGG
rnacentral:rRNA from 1 species